UUAUAACUGCUAUGGUGGUUAAUUUUUCUGUAAGAUUAUGUGUUAAGAUUGACCUCUUGUAACUCCCUUUUGCUGUAAUUAAGCUAGCUGAAAAAAAAACCCAAACCCAGAAAAAAAUCUUUAUUUGUAAGUCAACCAUCUUCCUAGUUGAUUACACUGGUAUGAAAAGGGAUGGAUGUUACUGUAGUUUUUGUUUGUUUGCUUUGAAAAUCCAUGCUCUUUCCCACUAUUUUGGCUGUUACUGACAGUUACAAAAGCAGCAGUUACCUUUUAUGCCCAGGAAUUUGCUUUUGUUUUUAGAGGAGAAUCUCUUGGUCACAGCAGUUCCUUAGCAUAUCCUUUAUUUUCCCCUCAAAAUGAAAUUUUGGACAUUUUUAUCUUUUUUUUGAUGCUUGUUUAUUAUUUUGUUCUAGAUGAUGAUGAAAUUCAUACGCUCUGCCAAACUCAAUGAGAAAGGAAGAACCAGGACACCUGGGGCAAGGACCAGUCUGCUGUAAUAUUAUUCAGUUUCUCAAAACUCCUUCAUGUGAAGGCAAACAAACAGUGAGCAGCUGUGUGUUUGCUCCCCAGUUACAACCCCCUGCAUCAGCCAUGCGGUUAGUGUGCUCCUCAGUCGGAGCUGACAAGGCAUGUGCUAAGUGAACCUGACAUCACAAGCUUCCUGAAAGUGUUAGUGGAUACAAGACUUGUGCUGUGUCUGGAAAGAUAGGUCAGCCUAAAAGUUUCCAGAGCAUUUAUCUACAAGUGUGUACCCAUAAGCGUCAGCACCACUGUGAGGCUGCAAACUCUGCUGUCAAGUUCCUUCCUUGAAGAAUGAAACAGAACCCCCCC